GCAACAACAGAGUUUAAUUACAAUCUACUUCGAUAGGACCACAAAGUGUCCGAUUUCACAUGAAAUGAUCCAAUAACAGAACAAAACAAUCCUAUAUUUGAAAGUUUAAUCAAUUCUUACAUGCACUGACCAAGGUUGUGAGAAUAACAAUAUACAGCAAUGUGGAGUUUCUCAAUUUUUUUUUUCAGUCGCCUCACUCUUUAAAUUAAUGAAAUAUUUAUAUUUAAUGCAGAUUAUCAUUAGAAUACAUACUAUCUUUGAAGACAAAGAGAUGGAAAACACAUGUAGGAUACUAUGCAAUGUGUUUCAAAUUUCAUGUUAGCCAUGUUCCUGAGGAAGACUCCCUGGCACCCUGGUUGAGAAACACUGUAACAGGGCAUUAACAUAGCAGAGUGACUUGAUGCACGAGAAUGGGUGUGUCUGACAGUGGUGCAGCAGCAGCUUAUGACGACAACAACAACAACAAAUCAAGAGAUCAAAAAAAUGGUUGCUGCAUCCGUAGCAACUAUUUCAUUGGCUGAGGCACGUGCGUCAUCCGUGCAAAAGUUUGACCAUUCGGUGAGUAGUUGGAAGUUUUUUUCCGGAUGGAUCCACCUCAGCUUUCUUCUUUUAUUUUUAGGUAUCCAGUGAAAAGUCAUGGAUGGUUUGUUACCCUAUCUGCAUGUGCAAUCCUCAGCACAACGGGUGUUUAUGCUGUUUAGUUAUCAGUGAUAUGAGUAAGGUUUGGUUACGAGUUGCCAAGAUGCUCCAUUCAUAAUGCUUAUUAAUUUUGACUCGUCAAAAGUGGGCGUGGCUAAGCGGCGGGUAGUCAGGGUGACGUAAGCCUGCCCUGUUUUUUCGAUUGGCCAGGCUUAGCCGUUUUGUUAUUUUCAUAAACUACAACAAUCAAACGAAAUAAAAAAAUUCUUUCACAUUAACACGACCAGGAAAACAUAUUAUGAACUGUUAUAACACAUAAUCAUGCAAGAAGGUUAAAAAAAAAUGGCAUGGCCUCUUUAACACUUGACGGCGACGGCACCAACAGAUACAACACCUCCAGGGCCGGACUACCGCAUAGGCUAGGUAUGGCUGAAGCCUAGGGGCCCCCAACAAUUCAUCUGUCGUGUAAAGUAUAGUUUUAAAUCUUAUUAAUACUCCUGUCCAUAGUAGCGUGCAAUCUGUAGCCCAGGGCCCCCGAGCCAUGUUAAUCCGGGCCUGAACACCAUGCAAACGAGACCACAGGUCAGGGCGGCAGGAAGUGAACCAAUUCAAUGUGGACGUGUGUGAAUGAGGUGUAAAGGGCCGUACACACACGUCGCUGCUAGUUACUCGCUCAGCGGAUGAAGUCAAUAGAAUGUCUACGUGUUCCAGCGAGUCUCGCUGGCGAGUAGGCGAGGAGAGUACAAGCGAGGCGAUGUGGGCGGGUUCCGAGAUAAACUUAUUUUAUCUUCGAGCGACGCGAGUUAAGCGAGUAACCAAUUGGAAUGGAGAAUACAGAUUAUUGACAGGUGACGUUGCCCCUGUGGUGUUCUGACCACCCAACUUCUGCAUGCCAUCACACUUUGGUUAAAAGUGUUGAGGAAAAUACAUCCAAUACAGUGUACACCAUCAAAGGCUCAUGUGCAUGGUUGUGCACAGCACACGAUUAAACCGUCUCUGGUUAAACAGCGUAGACCUACAUUUUGUUUCAUACGGACGUGUUGAAGAGUAGUUUGUCGAGGGGUCUUGGAGUAGUGGCACAGUGAACCAGCAGGAGGCAGAGAUGGUGUUUUUGCCGUUUAUUUUGCGACACCAAGUGCAUUAUAGUGAAAAUCCAGUGAGCCCGUGGAAAAUAAUAAACAAAAAACUAAACUAAACUUAAAUGUAGAAAAAUAUAUACAUCUGGUCUAUUUACAAUAUUUACAGGAAAAAUAAAUGGGCUAUGAUAAGCCAACAUAACAAAAUGGGAAAAUAAACAAAAUAGCCACAGGCUCACAAUAUUGUUCAAGUCAACAAAGUUACUCACACUUCAGAGUAAUGGAGCAUAAGGACGCACGUCCGUUCACCAAGGAGCUCUCCCGACUACUGAGAAAAUUCCCCAUUAUCAGGGCUACCUGACGCACCACGCAGAUGGACUAUACCAUUAUAGUUAGAAACUACAGGGGUGCUAAAAGUCAGAAUGACAUUAACAUUAAAUAUCACAAGUUAAAAUGGUACCAUUACUACAUAAAUCAUAUUAGGCCUUCUACAUCAACAUACUACACAUGUACAGACAUCACUACAGUCAUUUGGGGAUUUAACCACCGAAAUAUUACCGCGAGGGUGCAACCAUGUGCACUCACAACUCUACUCGGGAAUAUAGCAUUGGCAAACACUGACGCGCAUCUUUUAGGAAGAUGCGGUAAUGAGGAAGCGCUGGUCUAUUUAUUUUAUCUUUUGAGGAGGAUGACAGAAAAAUGUCUGCACACUUAGAACUCGCCUGGGUGGAUGGCAGAGAUCUCCUCCAGGGAACUUUUGGCACACAACAUUGGAUAUGGUCUGAACCAGCUGGUUUUCAUGGGUUGAUUGUGGCAGACAGAGUUAGACACACACACACAGUGUUUCUCACAGAUGCUUCUGGAGAGAAUGAUUUUUUGGAAAAUUAUAACAAGAUGAAAUAUAACCAAGAAUGAAUUAUAUACGGGAUGAGCAAAAUAAAAUGAAUUGUAAUAAUUAUGUAAAGGCAAUAGCAUGAAACUAGGUGGACAGAUUUCUGGCCAGAAACACCAGCCUGUCAGUAUGUUCUGGCUUCAAGGACGCUCUAAAAGCUUGAACUUUGGCUGAUCUCUUCAAGAUGCAAGAGGAUUGAGGAACACAUUUUUUGCUGGCAGGAGACAACCUGAAAUGACUGGGGAGCUUUGUGUACACCAACAGCAACAACAGUUAAGAUCAAACCAGCCAGGGUUAUUGGGAGCUGGUGGGCCUUCCCUGUGUAGAUGAUGUUCUAUCUGAUUUGGCCAGGAGAAGACUGCUGUACUAAUAUUAUGCACAACGUUCAACUGAUUGAACUGCUGAUCUGGCAGACCUCUCCAACAAAGCAGAAGAGAGAAGACAUGUUUAUUGCUGCCAGGAGACGAGCUGAAACAACCCGGGACUCAAGCUCGAUGUACAACAGCAUCAACACUCAAGGUACUGGGAAAUAACUGCACUUCAUAUGGAUACACACACAGACUCCGCUGAAACUCCCCAAAAUCCAGCCACCAUCAGCACUGAAGAUAACCUGAGGAUUGCAUAAUCUACAUUUUAGCCUCCAAUGUCUGAGUAUUGUUCCCUUGUGGUCUUUUGUUAGUAUGCUAAAUCUGUAAUUUGAUAUUAAUACAAAAUUAUUGUUUCUGGAAUGUACUGUGAGUAUUCUUUGUGAUGUGAUGUGUGAAUAAAUUUUGAAAGCUUU